UGUAUUAUAUUAUAAAUGUAUUUUUACAGAUAUAUUUAGGAGAAGGUAUUUCAGUUGGCCUUCUUUCGUGGGGAAUGACAAAAAUUGUACGGAAGCCUUCUUUAUUUUUCAAUAACAUUCUAUCACAUAUUUGGCCAGAGCAUAUUUUGAAAAAUAGAUGUCUUCACAUGAAGAGAACUCGUUAUAAGCCAACAAACGGUACACUUAAAAAACUUAGUCCAACAAAAUUGGCUUUAGCACAAAGUUUGUACAAUGACUACCUUAUUGAUUCAAACAUGACCUCUGAAAAACGUAUAAGAUAUCUGAAUGAUUCAUUUAAAAUUAUUUGUAACAAAAUACGAGAUGUUCGGAAGAAAUUUUAUUAACAGAAGAAAGAAGCUGAUUCAAGAAAUCUAAAGAUGCGAUUUGGGCUGUAUACAAUCCAGUGCAAAAGUUGCAAUUUUUUACUUUACUACAUAUAAUUAUAAAUCGUUUAUUUUUGUUCUUUUUAGUA